rnacentral:rRNA from 1 species
UGGGGAAUAUUGGACAAUGGGCGCAAGCCUGAUCCAGCCAUGCCGCGUGCAGGAUGACGGUCCUAUGGAUUGUAAACUGCUUUUGUACAGGAAGAAACAGUUCUACGUGUAGAACCUUGACGGUACUGUAAGAAUAAGGAUCGGCUAACUCCGUGCCAGCAGCCGCGGUAAUACGGAGGAUCCAAGCGUUAUCCGGAAUCAUUGGGUUUAAAGGGUCCGUAGGCGGUUAGAUAAGUCAGUGGUGAAAGCCCAUCGCUCAACGGUGGAACGGCCAUUGAUACUGUCUGACUUGAAUUAUUAGGAAGUAACUAGAAUAUGUAGUGUAGCGGUGAAAUGCUUAGAGAUUACAUGGAAUACCAAUUGCGAAGGCAGGUUACUACUAAUGGAUUGACGCUGAUGGACGAAAGCGUGGGUAGCGAACAGGAUUAGAUACGCGUAGUCCCUGAGCGGGCUGGCAAGGCGCAU